GAGACUAUGCUUCACAUGAUCAUUUUUGUAGUCGGUCUUCAUUUAUUGCCAUAUCAAAAUGGCCGUAACUCUACCCGCGAUGAGGAGUUGUAUCGUUUUACCAAGGGCGUGAGGUUACAGACGUUGUCGUUGCGUUACCUAUUGUGGGCGUUGUGGACAGUGCUCCUUCGAUUCGAUUUGUUAACCGGUUUCGAAGCGCU
rnacentral:snoRNA from 1 species